UACAGAGGGUGCAAGCGUUAAUCGGAAUUACUGGGCGUAAAGCGUGCGCAGACGGUUGCGUAAGUCAGAGGUGAAAGCCCGGGGCUCAACCCCGGAAUUGCCUUUGAGACUGCAUCGCUAGAAUUGUGGAGAGGUAAGUGGAAUUCCGAGUGUAGAGGUGAAAUUCGUAGAUAUCAGGAGGAACACCUGUGGCGAAAAGCGGCUCACUGGACCAUAACUGACGCUGAUGCACGAAAGCUAGGGGAGCAAACAGG
rnacentral:rRNA from 1 species